rnacentral:rRNA from 1 species
UACGGGGGGAGCAAGCGUUGUUCGGAUUUACUGGGCGUAAAGCGUGUGUAGGCGGUCUCAUAAGUCGGAUGUGAAAGCCCCGGGCUCAACCCGGGAAGUGCAUUCGAAACUGCGAGGCUAGAGUAUCGGAGAGGUUGGUGGAAUUCUCGGUGUAGAGGUGAAAUUCGUAGAUAUCGAGAGGAACACCGGUGGCGAAGGCGGCCAACUGGACGAAUACUGACGCUGAGACACGAAAGCGUGGGGAGCAAACAGG